GGUAACCCUUACGGGAGCCAGCCGCCGAAGGUGGGACAGAUGAUUGGGGUGAAGUCGUAACAAGGUAGCCGUAUCGGAAGGUGCGGCUGGAUCACCUCCUUUCUAAGGA
rnacentral:rRNA from 1 species